UGCAUGGUUGUCGUCAGCUCGUGUCGUGAGAUGUUGGGUUAAGUCCCGCAACGAGCGCAACCCCUAUUGUUAGUUGCCAUCAUUCAGUUGGGGCACUCUAGCGAGACUGCCGGUAAUAAACCGGAGGAAGGUGGGGAUGACGUCAAAUCAUCAUGCCCCUUAUGACCUGGGCUACACACGUGCUACAAUGGUUGGUACAACGAGUUGCGAGUCGGUGACGGCGAGCUAAUCUCUUAAAGCCAAUCUCAGUUCGGAUUGUAGGCUGCAACUCGCCUACAUGAAGUCGGAAUCGCUAGUAAUCGCGGAUCAGCACGCCGCGGUGAAUACGCUCCCGGGCCUU
rnacentral:rRNA from 1 species